UCUGGUGGCUUAGUUGGUAAAGAAUCUGCCUGCAAUGCAGGAGACCUGGGUUCAAUCCCUGGGUCAGAA
rnacentral:tRNA from 1 species